UAAGGCUCGAAUUACAUCCGCAUGCGACGGCGUCAAGCAUUUCUAUGCGGAGUGCCGCAGCAAUAAUGGUCACUGAACAGUUGUAUAGCUUUUGAUUCGGUUUCCCAACUAAUGCGGUAAAUUUUGUAUGUUCUGAAGUAGGCUUGAGGUGUGGCGCUUUUAGUUAAACAUUGCAUUUGGGAACAUGAUAAAUCCGCCUGUUGGUGAUGCUCAUGCGUUUUUGCAGAAACAAAAUGGUCUGGACCGUAAAUAUGAUUAAAGUCGUCGUCGGGCAGGAAAAGACCGAAGUGAACGAAGCCCAGUCUCAUUUGUAAAGGUGGGGGAAAGCUCGGGUGCUGCCUUUGAUGAUGUUGGUGAGCACCGUGCUGACGUUCGUCAUGUGUCGUGUGACACUAUACACCAUUCGAAAAGUGGGUUUCGGUGAAAACGGCAUCGUACCCAACACGUUGGCGUCCACUUGGCAGGCAGGAAUUGGAAACAUAGAAGAGAGCCCUUGGUUUUCUACCCUGCAGAGCACGGGUGUGCAUGGCUUUUCAUGGAAGCAGCGCCUGUUUGUGUGCAACUUAGUGUACAGUGUUUUAAUUUCGAUCGCGUAUUAGGCCUCCUUGUUUUGUUUUUUUUUUCUCAAUAAAUUUGCGCACCAUGGCUCACCUCGGAGGCAGAAUACGUGAAGAGAGGGAACAGACAUUGUCACCCUAUGUCACUUCCCGGCGGGCAAUUAUUAUAAACAUAUCUAAAUACUUUCAUUACUUCCCCCUCCCCCUUAAAAUGCUGGACAAUUGUGACUGAACUCGGCAGGUGGCAGAAUGUGAUUAGCCAGUUUUUAAUGGAGCUUCUUAAUUCGCUUGUUGAUGACCCGUUUCCGACUGAGAAUUCACCUGUCAUGCACUUUCUGCGGACAGAACCUUUCAUACACUCUAAAAACUAGGAAGGGUAUCGCAGGAGUGAAGCUGCCGGUUCACUCUUCAAAGCGUCGUUUUACUCUCGCAAAAUGUCGAGGAGAGUGAAAUGCAUUGUUCACUCUGUCACCAAGGAGAGAGUGAAAUGUGCUUUUCACUCUCCCCUUCAGGGAGAGAGAGUGAAAAGACUCUUGCGACAUUAGAAAAGAGAGACUCUUGCGGCAAUAGAAAACAAAACGUAGCGUAAUCUUCUGCUUCAACUGUAGGUGGCUGGCCCCGAACAUGGCAAUGUAUCAUUCAUGCACGCUGAGCA